rnacentral:rRNA from 1 species
CUGAUGGCGACCGGCGUACGGGUGAGUAACGCGUAUCCAACCUGCCCUUUACUAUGGGACAGCCCGUCGAAAGCGGAUUAAUACCGUAUGUUGUCAUGUUGAUGCAUAUUUUCAUGACCAAAGGCUUCGGCCGGUAAAGGAUGGGGAUGCGUCUGAUUAGCUUGCCGCGGGGUAACGGCCCACCGGGGCGACGAUCAGUAGGGGUUCUGAGAGGAAGGUCCCCCACACUGGUACUGAAACACGGACCAGACUCCUACGGAAGGCAGCAG